rnacentral:lncRNA from 1 species
UACUAUUCUAUGCAACGUGGGCAGUCCUCCUGAAUUGGCUGUCAGGAUUCUGCCCAGCUCUCACUGAAGUCAGUGAGAUUUCUCACACAAAUUGUCUAACAGAAUUUAUCACCGACUGAGCUGCUGUUUCGCCUGUACAAAAAAAACAGUUGUAACUAAGCAAUGGAGCAAACAGAAUGCCAAAGAUUUGGACCUUACAUCUCAACCUUCUGCUGGGUAUUGUAAAGAGAUCAGUAUAUUCUUAUUUUGCUGUCACAUACGAGGACAUCUGAAGUCAAAUUGAGAUCUGCUGUGACUGGAUGCAGCUCCACCAAGCUCAG